rnacentral:lncRNA from 1 species
UGGGAACAUCCUGAUGUGUGGCAUUACCAGAAAGUGUUCAACUAAUGCAAAAGGCCAAUACAUGCUGUGCACCUGAUGGAAGAACUCAAGUUUCUCUGCGACUCGGCGGGGCUGGGUUUUCACUUAGUACAUGAUAAACCGCACCACUUCUGUUCCUCCUAAGGCAUAUCAUGUGCAAGUGACCGUACUUCCACAGAGCCACUCAGUGCCCUGCUCCAUCCAGCCCUGCUUCCAGUAAGCACGAAUCUGCUUUUUCUUGUGGCUCACAUUAUACCUGCACUAUCUUUGGUAGCUGUGCCUGCACAGGUUAGUAGCUCAAGAAACUUUUCUCUGCAUCACCUCCAGGGAAAGAGUUCAGAGAACAAUCAAUGAACCGGGGCUCGAGCACAAGCUGGACCUUGUUCUUAUACUAGUAUACAUAUCUCUUCCUUACCAAUUGGCAGAGUAAGCUAGGUGGUUAGAGUUUUGUCAAACUAUUUGCAAUAAAAAGCAAGGAGUUUCAAUAAAUUUGAGUUUG